AUGGAGUUCCACUUCCGCGCCGGCGAGGAGCGCUGUCCGUCGACGGGGGCCGCGGCUACGUCGGCCAACUCCGAGACAGCAGCCACGCGCGUGAAUGACGGUCUCGUCGGCGGCGACAGUGCGGGGUACCAUGGGGAGAGCUCACCGCCGCCGGCAUUGGAUCCGGACGACCUGCGGCGCCGGGCGGCAAAGGAGAGGAUAAGGGAGCGGAUCCUGCACGAGGAGGCGGAGGCGAUGGCGCUCGAGUUCGAGGUCCGGCGUGAGCUCAUGGAAGAGCGCACCAGUUUGCUCGCGCAGUUGGCCGGCGGGUCGGAAACUAGGGCAGCGCCGGCGGUGCCAUCGCUGAAGACGGCGCCGAUCGAUCACCAGUCUGUGCAGGUUGGAUCCAAAGUAGACGUGUCUGCGGCCAUGGCAGCCAAGCGGAAAACCCCUCAUGCCGCUGCUGCAUCCGUUGUUUCGGCGGCCACAGGCAGCAAGAAGCAGAAGCCUGCUCUGACUUGCACGGUGUGCAACAUCACGGCAACCAGUGAGGUUGCCCUGCAAGAGCACCUCGGAGGGAAGAGCCACGUGAGGAAGGCCGGUAAACCUGCGCAGCCUCACCCAGAGGAGGAUGUGUUCAGCUUGAAGGUAAAUGGGUCGCCAGCCUUACCGGCCAAGGGGAAAAACCCUGGUGUAGUUGUCACUUCGAUGGCUCUCGCUGAAAAAAGUUGCAACAACUUGGGUUUGAACUGCAUGGUCUGCGGCAUCACAGCAAGCAGUCAAAAGAACAUGCAAGAUCACCUCAAAGGGAAAAUUCAUAUGAGGAAGACUGCCAUGCUCGCGCAGCCAUAUCCUAAGGAGAAUGGGGUCUGCUCAAAACCAAAUGCAUCAGCAGCCAUGCUACCGGCCAAGCGGAAGAACUCCGACGUUGUCCCAGCCGCAUCCACCCUUUCAGCAGGGCCAAGCAGAAAGAAUCAGAAGCAGGAUCACCUCAAAGGGAAGGCUCACAUGAAGAUGGCGGCCUCGCUUGCGCCUGGGGAAGCGUGGGAAGAGGCAGAGGUGGAAGGCGGCUACACGCCGUGGAAGUUCGAGAUGGUGACCGGCUCCGGGACAUUGUGCGAGGUGGUGCAGCUGAACGGCUCCAUCCUCUGCGAGGUGUGUGACCAGCAGGCCCCCGACCGCGUCACCAUGAUGUGCCACCUCCAGGGGAGCAAGCACAUCUCCAAGCAGGCCAAGCAGAAGCAAUGCGAAGCCGUCACUGCUGAUGGCGAUGGGCCAGGAUCAGAAAUGGUGCCCAUGGAGGCCAAUGGCGUGGGCCGGGUGGACGGUGGCUCCCUGCUGUGCGAGCUCUGCAACGUGAAGGUGGCGUCAGAGUGCGACAUGGAGUCUCACCUGUCCGGAAGGAAGCACACCAACAAGGCGAAGGUGGCUGCAGUUGGUGUAGGUGCAUGUGGCAACGGGUCAGGGUCAGAAACUGUGCCCAUGGAGGCCAACGGCGUGCGCCGGCUGGACGGCGGCAUCCUGCUGUGCGAGCUCCGCGACGUCAAGGCCCCAUCGGAGUGCGUCAUGCGGACUCACCUGUCCGGCCAGAAGCACACCAACAAACUGAAGGCCGCCACUGACGCCGGUGCAGGACAGGAGGUGAAGAAGGCUGCCGCCGCUGCCGCCACGAUCGGCAGCCCAUCCAAGGAAGCCGCCUCCAUCGUCGUCAAUGGCAGUGAUGACUCGGUGAAGAAACCAGCAGCGGGAGAGAUGGAGGUAGCUGUGUCAUCGGCAGGACAGGGGGUGAAGAAGGCUGCCGCUGCCGCCCCCACGAUUGGCAGCCCUUCCAAGGAAACCGCCUCCAUCAUCGUUAAUGGCAGCGAUGACUCAUUGAAGAAACCAGCAGCGGGAGAGAUGGAGGUAGCUGUGUCAUCGGCAGGACAGGGGGUGAAGAAGGCCGCCGCCGCCGCCACGAUCGGCAGCCCAUCCAAGGAAACCGCCUCCAUCGUCGUCAUUGGCAGCGAUGACUCAUUGAAGAAACCAGCAGCGGGAGAGAUAGACGUGGCUGUGUCAUCGGCAGGACAGGGGGUGAAGAAGGCCGCCGCAGCAGGCGGCACGAUCGGCAGCUCAUCCAAGGAAGCCACCUCCAUCGUUGUCAACGGCAGCAAUGACUCUGUGAAGAAACCAGCAGCGGGAGAGAUGGAGGUGGUAGUGUCAUCGGCAGCGCCUCAAUUGGAUGUCGCCGCCCAGGUCUGCGCCCGUGUCUCCUCCGUGGCGCCCAUGGAAGUAGACGAAGGUGCUGCCAAAGCUGAACAAGAGAAAGCUGAUGCGGAUGAAGAGGGAGCCGUGGAGAUCGACGGAGGCUCCGCCGUGACCGGCGAGAAGUAUUACAUCAAGGCGGAGGGCAAGCUGUUCGUCACGCUGCGCCAGGCGGACGACAGCCUCUCGUGCGGCCUGUGUGCCGUGCACGGCUGUGACAAGCGCGGCAUGAUCAAUCACAUCUACACAAGGGACCACUGGCGCAGAGCCCGUAUCGCCGAGGAGAAGAAGCGGGCGGUGAACAACGACGGCACUGGCGCCGGCAUCCCGGUCACCGACGGAGUGGCUCAGGUCGACAACUGA
rnacentral:rRNA from 1 species